rnacentral:tRNA from 1 species
UAGCUCAAUGGUUGAGCGUUGGCUUUGAAAGCCAUAGGCCAGUGGUUCGAUCUACGU